UCCCUGGUGGCUCAGAUGGUAAAGCCUCUGCCUGCAAUGUGGGAGACCCGGGUUCAAUCCCUGGGCCGGGAA
rnacentral:tRNA from 1 species